GCGAGCAAAGCUUCCAUUACUGCCUAAUCUCCACCUCCUGCCAGAUCAGUGGAGACAUUAGAUUUUCAUAGGAGCGUGAACCCUACUGUGAACUGUAUAUGAGAGUGAUCUAGGUUGCAUGCUCCUUAUGAGAAUCUAAUGACUGAUGCUAAGGCAGUGAUGCUAGCACUGGGGAGCUGCUACAAAUACAGAUUAUCCUUAGCAGAGAGGUUUGACAGCACAGAGACCAUAAUAAAUCAAUUGCUUUGCAGACUCAUAUUAAAACCCUAUCAGUGAAUGGCAAGUGACAAUUAAGCUUUAUCUAGUGGCAGGCAUCACACUGGGAAGAGAGUUCAUGU